AGAGUUUGAUCCGUGGCUCAGAACCAACGGCUGGCGGCGUGCGUAACACAAUGCAAGUCGAGCGAGGUGCUCGUCGGUGGCAACACGUGCGUGCACCGAGCGGCGAACGGGGGGGGUACACGUGAGGAACCUGCCCCGGAGACCGGGAUAACACGGUGAAAACGGUGCUAAUACCGAAUGCCCCCUUCCCCUCGCAUGUGGGGAAGAGGAAAUGGAUUCCGCUCCGGGAGGGCCACGCGGCCUAUCAGCUUGUUGGUGAGGUAACGGCUCACCAAGGCGUCGACGGGUAGCUGGUCUGAGAGGAUGAUCAGCCACACUGGGACUGAGACACGGCCCAGACUCCUACGGGAGGCAGCAGUGGGGAAUCUUGCGCAAUGGGCGAAAGCCUGACGCAGCAACGCCGCGUGGGGGAUGAAGGCCCUCGGGUUGUAAACCCCUUUCAGCAGGGACGAUAAUGACGGUACCUGCAGAAGAAGCCCCGGCCAACUACGUGCCAGCAGCCGCGGUAAUACGUAGGGGGCAAGCGUUGUCCGGAAUUAUUGGGCGUAAAGAGCUCGUAGGCGGUUCAGCAAGUCGACUGUGAAAACUCGAGGCUCAACCUCGAGACGCCAGUCGAUACUGCUGUGACUUGAGUCCGGUAGGGGAGCACGGAAUUCCUGGUGUAGCGGUGGAAUGCGCAGAUAUCAGGAGGAACACCGGUGGCGAAGGCGGUGCUCUGGGCCGGAACUGACGCUGAGGAGCGAAAGCGUGGGUAGCGAACAGGAUUAGAUACCCUGGUAGUC
rnacentral:rRNA from 1 species